GGGAGGUAUAUGAGUUUAUUUUAGCCGACAUCGUCAUGCUGUAAGCAACGGACGAUACAGUGCGUGCACCCUCUAUUGAAACAUGACGAUUGCCUAGGUUAACCAUAAGGAAGAUGUCGCAGCAAUCUCAACGAAAUAUCUGGGAGGCUCUUUCUGGACAAGAAACCACGGGAGCACCUGUAGAAGGGGCGGGGAAUACAGCGUGUGAAAAGGAAACUGAAGUGUCAAACGACGCAGACGCAGAAAAAGAAAAGUUAGCGACGCAACCGCCUUCAUCACAUUCGGAACCAAAGGAUCCGCCUGUUGUUAUUUUAGAUGAUCCCAUACCUGACGAG